UACGUAGGGUGCAAGCGUUGUCCGGAAUUAUUGGGCGUAAAGAGCUCGUAGGCGGUCUGUCACGUCGGCUGUGAAAACCCGAGGCUCAACCUCGGCCUGCAGUCGAUACGGGCAGACUAGAGUUCGGUAGGGGAGACUGGAAUUCCUGGUGUAGCGGUGAAAUGCGCAGAUAUCAGGAGGAACACCGGUGGCGAAGCGGUCUCUGGCCGAAACUGACGCUGAGGUGCGAAAGCGUGGGGAGCAAACAGG
rnacentral:rRNA from 1 species